rnacentral:rRNA from 1 species
CACUCCUACGGGAGGCAGCAGUGGGGAAUAUUGGACAAUGGGCGCAAGCCUGAUCCAGCCAUGCCGCGUGAGUGAUGAAGGCCCUAGGGUUGUAAAGCUCUUUCACCGGUGAAGAUAAUGACGGUAACCGGAGAAGAAGCCCCGGCUAACUUCGUGCCAGCAGCUGCGGUAAUACGAAGGGGGCUAGCGUUGUUCGGAUUUACUGGGCGUAAAGCGCACGUAGGCGGACUAUUAAGUCAGGGGUGAAAUCCCGGGGCUCAACCCCGGAACUGCCUUUGAUACUGGUAGUCUUGAGUUCGAGAGAGUUGAGUGGAAUUCCGAGUGUAGAGGUGAAAUUCGUAGAUAUUCGGAGGAACACCAGUGGCGAAGGCGGCUCACUGGCUCGAUACUGACGCUGAGGUGCGAAAGCGUGGGGAGCAAACAGGAUUAGAUACCCCAGUAGUCCCAU